UACGUAGGGUGCGAGCGUUAAUCGGAAUUACUGGGCGUAAAGUGUGCGCAGGCGGCCGAGCAAGUCGAGUGUGAAAGCCCCGAGCUUAACUUGGGAACUGCGCUCGAAACUACUUGGCUAGAGUGUGGCAGUGGGAGGUGGAAUUCCACGUGUAGCGGUGAAAUGCGUAGAGAUGUGGAGGAACACCGAUGGCGAAGGCAGCCUCCUGGGCCAACACUGACGCUCAUGCACGAAAGCGUGGGGAGCAAACAGG
rnacentral:rRNA from 1 species